CCCAGGUGGAGCGCGUCGGGCCCCUGGAUCCGGGGAAACGGCCAGGGUUUCGGGAGUCUCUUCACUCUCGUCUCAAAGCCAUUUUGUUCUGCUGCCGCUGCCUCUACGGGCAUAAAUGCCCAGAGAUUAGCGGAGAGGCUCCGAGCCCAGAAACGGGAACAAGACACAAAGAAGGAGCCGGUGUCCACAAACGCUGUUCAGCGGAGAGUGCAAGAAAUAGUGCGGUUCACACGGCAGCUGCAGCGAGUCCACCCCAACGUGCUUGCUAAGGCACUGACCCGAGGAAUUCUCCACCAGGACAAGAACCUUGUGGUCAUCAAUAAGCCCUACGGUCUCCCUGUGCAUGGUGGUCCUGGGGUCCAGCUCUGCAUCACUGAUGUACUACCUAUCCUGGCAAAGAUGCUUCAUGGCCACAAGGCAGAGCCCUUGCAUCUGUGCCACCGGCUGGACAAGGAAACCACAGGCGUAAUGGUGUUGGCUUGGGACAAGGACAUGGCACAUCAAGUCCAAGAGUUGUUUAGAACCCGUCAGGUGGUAAAGAAGUACUGGUAUGAGGCCUGCUGAUGGCAGUAGAGGUGGGCCAUCACUGUGCGUGUCCCCAUGCCCUCAGCAGGAGUUGUGGACAUCCCCAUUGUGGAGAAGGAGGCGCAAGGCCAGCAGCAACACCACAAGGUGGGUGAGCAGCCUCCCUGAGGCAUGGGUUGCUGCUCUUCCUUGGGAAUCAUAUCUUGAUUUCUUUGGCUUCAGAUGACAUUGUCCCCAAGCUACCGCAUGGACGAUGGGAAAAUGGUGAAAGUGCGGCGCAGCCGGAACGCACAAGUUGCUGUAACUCAGUACCAGGUGCUCAGCAGCACUCUCUCCUCCGCCCUCCUGGAGCUCCAGCCCAUCACUGGAAUAAAACAUCAGCUUCGAGUUCACUUGUCUUUUGGAUUGGAUUGUCCAAUCCUUGGUGAUCACAAGUACUCAGACUGGAAUAGGUUGGCCCCCCAGAAGCUGUCCGUGGGCACCCUGAAGAAGCUGGGGCUAGAACAGUCGAAGGCCCGCUACAUCCCCCUUCACCUGCACGCCCGGCAGCUGAUCCUGCCUGCCCUGGGGUCUGGCAAGGAGGAACUCAACUUGGUCUGCAAACUUCCUCGCUUCUUUGUACAUUCCCUGCACCGCCUGCAUUUAGAGAUGCCAAAUCAGGAUCAAAAUGAGAACAAUGAAGCCAAGUGUCUGGGAGCACAGUGAAGACCCUGAGAGCACCCUGGCACCUGGGAGCACAGUGAAGACCCUGAGAGCACCCUGGCACCUGGGAGCACAGGUUGGCCCCUGAACUGUUCUUUGUUUACAGGACUCUGCUAACUUCUCACUUGGAACAGACUCCAUAAGAGCCAGGUGGGAUAAGGUGAAGCAACUCAGCUGCUACAGGGCUUUUAAUGGAGAACAAAGUCUAUUUACUGGUAAUUUGGCUACACUGUGGAAAAGCCUGCUGGAAGUCUCCCUGCCGUGGGCUCUCAUUGCCAAUAUGGAACAGAGCCCAGGGCCAGGCAGACUGGGGCAGUGACUGGAAAAGGAAAACUAAAGGACAGAAUCCAGGAUCAGGAACUGUUUUUAUCCAGCAGUGAAGCUCUUGAGCUCUUAGGAAGGUUCCUGUGGUUGGAAAGAACAUAAUGGUUAACAAAUAUCACAGCAUCCAGGGAUUGCCCAGCUAUAGUAUGGGUGCCCUACUGCACUCUGAUUAUGGAACCUGUAAAAGGGUGUUGAAUGUGAGGUUGAGGUGGGACAUUUGCUGAGCAAGGAGAGUCGAUGUGAAUGGCAGGCAGAUAACAUGCACACAUGAAGCUGGCUGGGUGUAAGGCAGUAGCGGGGAGCGGCAUGCUAUCU
rnacentral:sRNA from 1 species